AUUGAACGCUGGCGGCAGGCCUAACACAUGCAAGUCGAACGAGUGGCGGACGGGUGAGUAAUGUCUGGGAAACUGCCUGAUGGAGGGGGAUAACUACUGGAAACGGUAGCUAAUACCGCAUACCAUCGGAUGUGCCCAGAUGGGAUUAGCUGGUUGGUGGGGUAACGGCUCACCUAGGCGACGAUCCCUAGCUGGUCUGAGAGGCUGACCAGCCACACUGGAACUGAGACACGGUCCAGACUCCUACGGGAGGCAGCAGUGGGGAAGAUUGCACAAUGGGCGCAAGCCUGAUGCAGCCAUGCCGCGUGUAUGAAGAAGGCCUUCGGGUUGUAAAGUACGUUCAGCGGGGAGGCGUUACCCGCAGAAGAAGCACCGGCUAACUCCGUGCCAGCAGCCGCGGUAAUUC
rnacentral:rRNA from 1 species